AUUGAACGCUGGCGGCAGGCCUAACACAUGCAAGUCGAGCGGAUGAAGGGAGCUUGCUCCUGGAUUCAGCGGCGGACGGGUGAGUAAUGCCUAGGAAUCUGCCUGGUAGUGGGGGAUAACGUCCGGAAACGGGCGCUAAUACCGCAUACGUCCUGAGGGAGAAAGUGGGGGAUCUUCGGACCUCACGCUAUCAGAUGAGCCUAGGUCGGAUUAGCUAGUUGGUGGGGUAAAGGCCUACCAAGGCGACGAUCCGUAACUGGUCUGAGAGGAUGAUCAGUCACAAUGGGAAUGAGACAACGUUCCGGCGCCUAAGGGAGGCAGCAGUUGGGAAAAAUGGAACAUGGGCGGAAGCCUUGUCCAGGCAUGGCGGGUGUGUGAAGGAGGUCCUCGGAUUGGAAAGCACUUUAAGUUGGGAGGAAGGGCAGUAAGUUAAUACCUUGCUGUUUUGACGUUACCAACAGAAUAAGCACCGGCUAACUUCGUG
rnacentral:rRNA from 1 species